rnacentral:lncRNA from 1 species
GCUCAUUCCACGGUCCUGUUAUUUACGCAGUGACAGCCUAUGGAGGAUUACCUUUUUGCCCCCAAACAAAAUGAUUCUAAGACUCACUUAUAUUUUGUAUGAUUAUUUCAGAUAUUGCACCUAAUGUCAUAGAGCUUUAUGUUUAAAUAAGGAUCAUUUGCUUUGAGUUUUUAUAUGCCUUAGAGAAGAGAACAUAUACGGAGACUAGCCAGACAAAAGAAAGCUAGGAAGCGCUGCUGAGAUGAAGAGCAAAGUUCAUGAGAACAAACCAUGUGCAUCUGCCACAAACAAAGCAACAACCAGGGUUUGAGGUUGCAUGGGGGAUGUUUCUUAGAGAAAUUCUAAGUUGAAUCUCCCGAAACGUGUUAGUGACCUGGGUCCCAAGGAUAUUAAAAAAAAAAAAAAAUACACAAUGUUUGUAUUCCUGGGGAUGUUUUUAAUUAUGAACUGAUUCUGAACAUGGCAAGAUAUCUUACAAUAUGGCAAGUACGGAAAACCAUGGAUUCUGAAAGUUAAAAACUUAGUUGUCCUUGCAGUCUUUAUUUUAACUUGGACAGCAGUCUCAUGUAGAUUUUUUAAUAUUCUUAGCCAGCAUGAUUUCUUCACCUUUCUAGGUCUCUUUUUAUUUCUGACCAGCAACUUAGGGUGCCGAAUUUAAAGUAGAAAGACAAAGGGGAAGAGUCUUUUAAACUGUAUUUUCACACACAAAAAAACUUUUUUCACAAGAAGUUUGUCAUUUGCCCCAAUAUCAAACUGAAAAAUAUUCAUUCUUAUUUUGUUUUCUGUUUUAGAUGAAAAUUGCAUUUAAUCUAAGAAUUAUGCCAUUUUUGUUACUAGUGUCAAAACUUAGAGAACAUACUGUAUGGUGCCUUGCAAGAUAGAAAGGUUUUAGCAUGCACACCAAUAUAGGAUAUUAGGCCAUAGAUAAGCACACCUAAAUAACAAAUUAAUACCAGUCAUGGUACUGCUGCUGGAAUGAAGAAAAUGGAAUACGUUUCUUUUCUUUUUUUUCUAUUGUUACAUAAUUGCCAUGUGGACUUGUUUAUGAUUAUUGUGUGGAGUAGCAUUCAAGAUUUAACUGCGACAAAAAUGACUUUAACUGUUGUAUUUAAGUUGCAUGUUAAUUAAUUGUACACCGUCACUUUAAGUACAUCAGAUCUAUGGUUUUGUGCCCAUAAUAAAAGUGGAAAAGCCUGUUGGAUGUCACACAUUGGUAUCACAGUUUAAACAGUGGUCAGCUGGUUUCCCAGUGCAGUCUACUGAGGUAAAGAUGGUGGCCUCUUUCCAUUUGAUUUAUGUACACUGGAAAAAGAAAAAACUUUAAUGUUAACUUUAUGUAAUAUUUAAGGUAUAAUGCAUUUUCUUUUUUUUACUGUUUAUGUAUAGUUUCCAAAAUAAAGAAUCUUGU